rnacentral:rRNA from 1 species
UACAUGGGGUGCAAACGUUGCUCGGAAUUAUUGGGCGUAAAGCGCACGUAGGCGGUUCGUUAAGUCGGAUGUGAAAGCCCUCGGCUCAACUGAGGAAGUGCACCCGAAACUGGCGAGCUUGAGUACGAAAGAGGAUCGCGGAAUUCCCGGUGUAGAGGUGAAAUUCGUAGAUAUCGGGAGGAACAUCAGUGGCGAAGGCGGCCAUCUGGGACAACACUGACGCUGAGGCACGAAAGCGUGGGGAGCAAACAGG